UACAGAGGGGGCAAGCGUUAUUCGGAAUUAUUGGGCGUAAAGGGCGCGUAGGCGGCCUGGCAAGUGGAAGGUGAAAUCCCUCGGCUUAACCGAGGAACUGCCCUCCAAACUGCUUGGCUUGAGUCCGGGAGAGGUGAGUGGAAUUCCCAGUGUAGCGGUGAAAUGCGUAGAUAUUGGGAGGAACACCAGUGGCGAAGGCGGCUCACUGGACCGGAACUGACGCUGAGGCGCGAAAGCG
rnacentral:rRNA from 1 species